AAAUCAUCAACUUCAAGGGAUGGCAUUGGCAUUGGCAUUGGGUGGGGCCUUGACUGUUUAUUUGGUAGCUUUGAUGACAAUGAACCAGGAAGUAAUAGCUCUGACGACGACGAUGAACCAAUCAGCAAAAGAUUCAAGAAAGUCUAAAUUAUUUUGUGCUUGGUUCAAUCAUUCAAUGAGAUGAAUUGGGAGAAACUUAUGAAGAUGGCCGGUGCAGUUCACACUGGUGGAAAGGGUAGCAUGAGGAGAAAGGAGAAGACUGUUCACAAGACAACUACCACAGAUGACAAAAGGGUUCAGAGCACCAUUAAGAGAAUAGGGGGUGAACUCUAUUCCUGCAAUCAAGGAAGUUAACAUAUUUACGGAUGAUGUUGUCAUCCAGUUCAUGAACCCCAGAGGUGAAGCUAACGUGCCAGAACUCUGAUCCUGUAAAUUAUUAUCUUGAUUUUCCUUGUACAUUUCAGUUCAAACAAAGAGUAUGCCACUAUUUGUUAUCUAUCUUUUAAAUUUGAAGUGAUUGUUUAACUUGUUAACCA